GUGAGGAAUUUUCCGCAAUGGGCGAAAGCCUGACGGAGCAAUGCCGCGUGAAGGAUGAAGGCCUAUGGGUUGUAAACUUCUUUUCUCAGAAAAGAAUUAUGACGGUAUCUGAGGAAUAAGCAUCGGCUAACUCUGUGCCAGCAGCCGCGGUAAGACAGAGGAUGCAAGCGUUAUCCGGAAUGAUUGGGCGUAAAGCGUCUGUAGGUUGUUUAAAAAGUAUUCUGUCAAAGAUUAGGGCUUAACCCUAGAUAGGCAGAAUAAACUUUUAAGCUAGAGUGUGGUAGAGGCAGAGGGAAUUCCCGGUGGAGCGGUGAAAUGCGUAGAUAUCGGGAGGAACACCAAAGGCGAAGGCACUCUGCUGGGCCAAUACUAACACUGAGAGACGAAAGCGAGGGGAUCAAAUGGGAUUAGAAACCCGAGUAGUCC
rnacentral:rRNA from 1 species